CCUACGGGAGGCAGCAGUGGGGAAUAUUGCACAAUGGGGGAAACCCUGAUGCAGCGACGCCGCGUGAGUGAAGAAGUAUUUCGGUAUGUAAAGCUCUAUCAGCAGGGAAGAAAAUGACGUUACCUGAUUAAGAAGCCCCGGCUAACUACGUGCCAGCAGCCGCGGUAAUACGUAGGGGGCAAGCGUUAUCCGGAUUUACUGGGUGUAAAGGGGGCGUAGACGGCAGCACAAGGCUGGAGUGAAAUGCCGGGGCUUAACCCCGGAACUGCUUUGGAAACUGUGCAGCUAGAGUGCAGGAGAGGUAAGUGGAAUGCGUGGUGUAGCGGUGAAAUGCGUAGAUAUUAGGAGGAACACCAGUGGCGAAGGCAGCUUACUGGACUGUAACUGACGUUGAGGCUCGAAAGCGUGGGGAGCAAACAGGAUUAGAUACCCCAGUAGUC
rnacentral:rRNA from 1 species